CUACGGGCUGCUGCAGUGAGGAAUAUUGCACAAUGGAGGAAACUCUGAUGCAGCAACGCCGCGUGGAGGAUGACGCAUUUCGGUGUGUAAACUCCUUCUAUAUGUCAAGAAAAUGACGGUAGCAUAUGAAUAAGCUCCGGCUAACUCCGUGCCAGCAGCCGCGGUAAUACGGAGGGAGCAAGCGUUACUCGGAAUCACUGGGCGUAAAGGACGCGUAGGCGGGGUAGAAAGUCAGGUGUGAAAUCCUAUGGCUCAACCAUAGAACUGCACUUGAAACUUCAAACCUAGAGUAUGGGAGGGGAAGAUGGAAUUAGUGGUGUAGGGGUAAAAUCCGUAGAUAUCACUAGGAAUACCAAAAGCGAAGGCGAUCUUCUGGAACAAUACUGACGCUAAGGCGUGAAAGCGUGGGGAGCAAACAGGAUUAGAUACCCCUGUAGUC
rnacentral:rRNA from 1 species